AUGUGUCUCUGCAGCUGCGGGCAGCACUGUUCGACAUUCAUGAUAUAUUUUUUGAAAUGUCUCUGGAUGAGCGUCUGGCUCUGCUUCAGCAGAAACAAGAGCUUCUCACAGAGAGGAAACUCCGAGAGAUGGUGACUGUGCCUUUUCGGAUUAAAAUUAUGUAAUGUGUCAUCAUAUAAGAUUCAAUAAAUUAAAAAAAUCAAGUCAGUUAUUCAUACUCAAGUCAUAUUAUGACCACCUUAUCAGCUCCACUGGGCAUAUAGGAGUACUAGGUACUUACAGAUUGUAGCUUGUUUUUCUGGGUACUUUAUUAGUAUCUCAUUUCACCCUGUCCUUCAACUGUCAGGACCCCAUAGGUCCACCACAAAGUAGGUAUUAUUUGGGUGGUGGGUCAUUUUCAGCACUGCAGUCACUGUUUUGGCAUGGUGGUGGUGUGUCAGUGUGUGUUGUGCUGGGUAGGAGUGGAUCAGAUUAUUUAAACACCAUAUAUUAAUGUUAUCAAAUGUUAUUCAGUAGCAUAUUCAACAAUACAAUAUAUGCUUACCUGAUCAUGUUGUUUUCUCAUUUGAGAUAUUUACUAAACCUGUAACAGAUAACUAUGGGUUGUUUUUAAUUGGUUUUAAUUGAUAUAUCUGUAACAACAAAAGCUCUAUUACAGAAACUGCCUAUUUACAUUUGCAAAAUAAUAAAUCUAGGCUUUAGCAUUAUCAUCCAACUCAACAAGUCUCUUCAUCAACAGGAAAAAGCCAAAAGUCCCAAAGAGAAGAUUAAUUUGUCUGCUGCCACCCAGAAAGUUCUAGACCGUAAGAAGCAGAGAGUGGGCGAGUCUCCAAGUCAGACCAGAAGGAUACAGCAGAAGCCCAAAAGCCCCCUGACAAACAGGUGAGAGCUGGACAGACACAAGGGCCUAUAGUACAAUAAUGAAAAUGUAAUUACCUUACACCGAAUGCAACAUGUUCAAAAAAUCCAAAAAGCUUUGUUUUUACACC
rnacentral:lncRNA from 1 species